CUGCAUGCACCCAGGUUGAGGUAGUAGGUUGUAUAGUUUAGAAUUACAUCAAGGGAGAUAACUGUACAGCCUCCUAGCUUUCCUUGGGUCUUGCAC
ensembl:miRNA